CCUACGGGAGGCAGCAGUGGGGAAUAUUGGGCAAUGGGCGCAAGCCUGACCCAGCAACGCCGCGUGAAGGAAGAAGGCUUUCGGGUUGUAAACUUCUUUUAAGAGGGAAGAGCAGAAGACGGUACCUCUUGAAUAAGCCACGGCUAAAUACGUGCCAGCAGCCGCGGUAAUACGUAGGUGGCAAGCGUUGUCCGGAUUUACUGGGGGUAAAGGGCGUGCAGCCGGGAAUACAAGUCAGAUGUGAAAUCCCGCGGCUCAACCGCGGAACUGCAUUUGAAACUGUUUUUCUUGAGUACCGGAGAGGUCAUCGGAAUUCCUUGUGUAGCGGUGAAAUGCGUAGAUAUAAGGAAGAACACCAGUGGCGAAGGCGGAUGACUGGACGGCAACUGACGGUGAGGCGCGAAAGCGUGGGGAGCAAACAGGAUUAGAUACCCUUGUAGUC
rnacentral:rRNA from 1 species